rnacentral:rRNA from 1 species
UACACUCCUACGGGAGGCAGCAGUGAGGAAUAUUGGACAAUGGGUGGAAGCCUGAUCCAGCCAUCCCGCGUGCAGGAAGACGGCCCUAUGGGUUGUAAACUGCUUUUAUCUGGGGAUAAACCUACUUACGUGUAAGUAGCUGAAGGUACCAGAAGAAUAAGCACCGGCUAACUCCGUGCCAGCAGCCGCGGUAAUACGGAGGGUGCAAGCGUUAUCCGGAUUUAUUGGGUUUAAAGGGUCCGUAGGCGGACUGAUAAGUCAGUGGUGAAAUCCGACAGCUUAACUGUCGAACUGCCAUUGAUACUGUUAGUCUUGAGUAAGGUUGAAGUGGCUGGAAUAAGUAGUGUAGCGGUGAAAUGCAUAGAUAUUACUUAGAACACCAAUUGCGAAGGCAGGUCACUAAGUCUUAACUGACGCUGAUGGACGAAAGCGUGGGGAGCGAACAGGAUUAGAAACCCCAGUAGUCCCA